GGGACAAUCUCAGAGCCCGCAACCAGGAGCUGCAGCAAGAGUUGGAGGAAAGUGAGCAAGCGAUGUGGAGGGCAGAACACCAGAAGACCUCUCGAGAAACUGCCCUGGAGAAAGAGGCCAUUGCCCUGAAGGAAGAGGCUGUGACUCUUCAUCAGGAGGUGGCACCUCUGCAGAGGAAACUGGAGAGCCUGGAGAAGGAAAGGAAGGAUGUGCUGCGUGAACGGGAACUGUACGAGGAGCAGAUGGGAGAUCUGAAAAAGAAG